UACAGAGGUCUCAAGCGUUGUUCGGAUUCAUUGGGCGUAAAGGGCGCGUAGGCUGCGGGGCAAGUCGGGUGUGAAAUCUCAGAGCUCAACUCUGAAACUGCACUCGAUACUGCUUUGCUUGAGGACUGGAGAGGAGAUUGGAAUUCACGGUGUAGCAGUGAAAUGCGUAGAUAUCGUAAGGAAGACCAGUGGCGAAGGCGAAUCUCUGGACAGUUACUGACACUGAGGCACGAAGGCCAGGGGAGCAAACGGG
rnacentral:rRNA from 1 species